CUUUAACAAUCUGGAACAAGCUGAAAAAUUUGAAACAAUCGAUGUUGUUGAAUGAUAACAUUGAUGAGUCUCUCAAAAACUCCAAUCUGAAGACACCUUCGG
rnacentral:sRNA from 1 species